CUUAUUAAUGGACACAUUAAAGCAAUAGAGUCUUAUUUAUCUAAAAAAGUGUUACUCUGCUACAUUAAUCCCACAUGCAAACACUGACCAUGAGCAUUACUCUAGAUGGGCUCCCAUAGGGUAGACACUGCACAAGCUCAGAUGAUCAAGCCGCUAAAAUGGGUUCAAAGAGUUGGUUCUCAAACUUUUUCUACUGUGUGUCACAUGAGGAUGAAAACUGUAGCAUACAAAAAGAUGACAUAGACUAUAAAGUUGACCACAACAGAUUAACACACCAACAAGACCAGAAAACAUCCACUUUACCUGACUUUAAAGCUCCUAUGAGGAGUUCAUUGAUAUUUAUGAAAUGGACCAAAAUUGAGUGUUAAUGAAAUACAAAAUCACAUUAGACCAUCAGCAACAAGAUCUGAGAUUUUUAUAUCCUUAAUUUUAAAGUCUGAAAUUAGUGGGAAGGGGGUAGGUCCAAGCCUUACAGCUGAAGAUUUGGCCCUGUUUUGUUUCCAAUCCACUGGGGUUGUAAAUUAAAUGUGGAUCAAUGCUUUGAACACCUUUAGAAUUGAUUUUUGCUUCUCUUUCCAAUAAAAUGUAUUGUAAUAUGCACACUUCUGGUAUGCUUGUCAUGUUUUUGCUAUAAAAACAUUUUUUAGAUGGAAAAGAAAACCAGAGGACAAAUGUCUGUAGUCAUUUUAACUUAGGUUUAAUGUUUCCAAUAAUUAAUAAUGUCUCUGAAAUUUCUGGAUUUAUGACUCAAACAGGAUUUAAAAGAUGUCUCAGAAUCCAAAUUCUACUUAUUUUAAUGUUCAUUUUGUUUGUAUCCAGGUGACAGACAUGCAAACUGUACUGAUUGGUCCAUCUGAAUUCCCUCCUUUAGUUGAUGUAAUCUGAGAAUAUAUAUGUAUAAAUGUGAGAAGAGAUAGCUGGGACUAUUCGGGGCUGGGUUAUCCCCUCCCAUAAAACAGCUUGUCUUGAUGGAAAACACUUCAGUGUUUUUUCUCUCAGGUCUUAAUGAGACAAGGAAAUAUCGCUCUGUCAUUUUCUCUCUCACUUUACUUUGUUACUGUUCAAUUCUGUUUGGGAAUGUAGUUCUCAUUGUGACGAUUAUCAUAGAUAAAAACCUGCAUGAACCCAUGUAUAUUCUACUGUGUACAUUCUGCUUUAAUGGGCUGUACGGAUCAACUGGUUUCUUUCCAAAGUUUCUCUGGGAUCUUCUGUCUCCAGUUCAUGUUAUCUCUUAUUAUGGAUGUCUUGUUCAGUCUCUGGUCGUGAACUCAUUCACCUGUGCUGAUCUAUCAUUUCUCACAGUCAUGGCCUAUGACAGAUAUGUGGCUAUAUGUCAACCGCUGAAGUACCACUCCCUCAUGUCAAAGCAGAGACUGGUGAAGUUGGUGUGUUUAUCUGUGAUCACACCUUUUUUUAACAUAUCGACUAAUGUUUCACUUGCAUCAAGGUUAAAGCUGUGCAGGAAUCAUAUUUCCAGAUUAUUUUGUGUUGGCUGGUCGAUCGUUACACUUGCUUGUUUUCCAGCUGAAAUUGUUCUUAUUAACAUAGUCGCCUAUAUUACAAUAGUUUUUUAUGUUCUUCAUUGUGUUCUUAUAAUUGGCUCUUACGUCUAUCUAAUCAAAACUUGUGUGAAUUCUAUAGAAAACAGGGCAAAGUUCAUGCAGACAUGUGUGCCUCAUUUAACCUCCCUUCUCAUUUUUUUGUGACUAAACUUUGUGAUAUGAUGUUUAACAGAUAUGGUUCUAAAAAUAUAUCUCAAACCAUCAAAAACUUCAUUGCAAUAGAGUUUUUUGUCAUUCCUCCUUUAAUGAAUCCUCUUAUCUAUGGUUUUAAACUGACGAAGAUUAGAAACAGAAUUGUGGGUUUUGUUAGAGCCAAAUAAUUUGACCAAUGCUUGAUUUAGUACAGUCAAAGGGCUAAAAGUACAACAUUGUAUUUAGGUAAUUUUCUUAGCUCUAAAAUUAUGGAGAGAAUAGAUACUCCUUAAAAAGAGCAAACAUUCAGUUUUUCGUAAGUGUUAUCCAAGAAGACGACACUUUGAGUGUUUUAUUCAGAGCUCAACUGAAAUCAACAGUUACAACAACAACAUAUCUAAAUUAUACUGUUUUUAAUCAUGUUGUAAUAGCUAUUAUGGAGAACAAAGAAUCAUAUCAAUGUAGCAGGUGAUAACUAACUUCUGCUUCAUGCUUAUGUCGCUUUUUUUUAUCCGUCUUUACACAAAGGAUUCAGAUGUUGUCUUUUAGGCACAGUCAUAGUUAGGUAAAAAGAAACUGUUGGUCUUUCUUCUUUACUUUUUCAUUGCUUUGAUUGAUUGAAGUUUAUUUUGAACAUAUAAAAUAAAUAAAUAAAAACAUCAAGAAUACAACAACAAAUGAUAAAAAGUUAUCCAUGUUUUCAAAGGAGUGUGAAAAAGUCAAAUGUACCUAGUCCCACCCCGUGACCUACACUGAUGAUUUACUUAUUAUAUUACAUGACUAGGACAAGUUUUUAUUGUUUGUUUGUUUGUUUUUUUAUAUUUUACAACUUGAUCCAACAAAAUAUUGAAGCUGUAGUAAAUUUAUUUGCUGUUUUGUGUAUUUAGUUGAGAAAUGAGUUGAAAGAAAGUGUCUACAUAAUUUGCAUUUGUGCUUGAGUGUGUUUGAAUGAGAGCAGAAGAAUCACAAGUUUGUACCUGGAAGCUCAAAUUAAAAACAGAAGUAUCAUACAGAUUAAAAAUAUAAGGCCAGUGGUCUGAAUUAGACAAGCCCCCACACUGUCCAGUUUUAAAAGUCAUCUUAAAACCCAUUUUUAUUCAUUGGCUUUUAACCCUGCAUGAGACUCGGCUCCUGUUUUAGUGUUUUAUGGUUUGUUUUUAGUUAUUUGUUUCUAUGUUUUUAAAUUAGUUUUUAAAAACAUUAAAACUAUAUUUUACUUUUAAUUCUGCUUUUAUUUUAUCCAUUAUUUUAAUUGUUUCUUGAUUGUUUUUUAUCUUGUUUUUUUGUCUAGUUAUGUACAGCACUUUGUUCAGCUGUGGUUGUUUUAAAGUGCUUAACAAAUAAAGUUGAGUUGAGUUGAGUUGAAUUCAUAUAAACACCAAAGUCAUACAAGGAACUAUGUUUGUUUCACUGAAAACCAAUAAGUACCCCUGUUGUUAUAUUAAUAGACUUAUUUUUCAAAUCAAUCAAGAUACCCAUGUUUGUGUUGUAAACCAACCUAAAUACAUAAGACCUUAUUAGUGGACUUCUUAAAGCAAUAGAGUCUUAUUCAUCUAAAACAGUUUUACUCUGCUACAUUAAUCCCACGUGCAAGAACUGACCAUGAGCAUUACUCUAGAUGGGCUCCCAUAGGCUAGACACUGCACAAGCUCAGAUGGUCACGCCGCUAAAAUGGGUUCAAAGAGGUGGUUCUGAAACUUUUUCUACUUUGUGUCACAUGAGGAUGAAAACUGUAGCAUAAAGAUGAUGACAUAGAGUAAAAAGUUGACCUGGUAAGUUAGUUUUGAAGUCCAAGCCUUAAAGCUGAAGAUUCGACCCUGUUUUGGUCAUUACACUUGUUCAUAAUCCACUGGGGUUGUGAAUCAAUUGUCAAUCAAUGCUUUGAACACCUUUAGAAUUGAUUUUUGCUUCUCUUCCCAAUAAAAUGUAUUGUAAUAUGCACACUUCUGGUAUGCUUGUCAUGUUUUUGCUUUUAAAACAGUUUUUAGAUGGAAAAGAAAACCAAAAGACAAAUGUCUGUGGUCAUUUUAACUUAGGUUUGAUGUUUCUAAUGAUCAAUAAUGUCUCUGAAAUUUCUGGAUUUGUGACUCAAACAGGAUUUAAAAGAUGUUCCUCUCAUUUUUAUGUUCAUUUUGUUUGUAUCCAGGUGACAGACAUGCAAACUUUACUGAUUGGUCCAUCUGAAUUCCCUCCUUUAGUUGAUGUAAUCUGAGAAUAUAUAUGUAUAAAUGUGAGAAGAGAUAGCUGGGACUAUUCAGGGCUGGGUUAUCCCCUCCCAUAAAACAGCUUGUCUUGAUGGAAAACACUUCAGUGUUUUUUCUCUCAGGUCUUAAUGAGACAAGGAAAUAUCGCUUUGUUAUCUUUACUCUCACUUUACUCUGUUACUGUUCUAUUCUGUUUGGGAAUGUAGUUCUGAUUGUGACAAUUAUCAUAGAUAAAAACCUGCAUGAACCCAUGUAUAUUCUACUGUGUGUAUUCUGCUUUAAUGGGCUGUACGGAUCAACUGGAUUCUACCCAAAGUUUCUCUGGGAUCUUCUGUCUCCAGUCCAUGUUAUCUCUUAUGCUGGAUGUCUAAUUCAGUCUCUGAUCGUGAACUCAUUCAGCUGUGCUGAUCUAUCAAUUCUCACAGUCAUGGCAUAUGACAGAUAUGUGGCUAUAUGUCGACCGCUG